GACGAACGCUGGCGGCGUGCUUAACACAUGCAAGUCGAACGGGAGUAUUGAAGAAGCUUGCUUUAGAGAUACUUUAGUGGCGGACGGGUGAGUAAUGCGUGGGAAUCUACCUGGCAAUGGGGGAUAACCCAGGGAAACUUGGGCUAAUACCGGAUGUGAGCAACUUUUAGUUGUUUGAAAGGUGGCGUAAGCUGUCGCUUGGGGAUGAGCCUGCGUCCUAUUAGUUAGUUGGUGAGGUAACGGCUCACCUAGGCAAUGAUAGGUAGGCGGCCUUAACGGGUGGUCGCCCACACUGGGAUUGAGAUACGGCCCAGACUCCUACGGGAGGCAGCAGUCGAGAAUAGUCUACAAUGGUCGGAAGACUGAUAGUGCGACGCCGCGUGAACGAUGAAUCCCUUCGGGGUGUAAAGUUCUUUUAUAUGUGAGCAGUGCUUCUUAUAUUAACAGUAUGGGGAGAGAGAUAUUAGCAUAUGAAUAAGCAACGGCUAACUCCGUG
rnacentral:rRNA from 1 species